rnacentral:lncRNA from 9 species
GAGAUCCAAAUCCAAGACUCUAUGUCGGCGUGGAUGGAGGGCUGGCGGCAGAGGGACAGGGGCUUUAAUCGCGACAGAAGCCCUGUAGGUGGUUCAGACUUUUUCUUUUGCCCUCAGGGGUCGAGCAUCCGAGGUUAAACUGCCUGCGACUCACAUGUCAGUGCAGCAGUUUCCCUGAGACUUCAGCGGCGGGAGGCCGAGCACCUGUGCUCCGUGCCUCUUGUAGGGACAGCUGUGCGCAUCCCUCGGGCCCACAGACCGCACCAUCUGACCUGCCAGGAACGAAAUCUGAGCCUCGGAAUUUGAAGGGCCCCGCGCACGUUCCUUCUCGGAUAAAUCUCCUAGGAAAGGAUCGUUAUUCUCCACUCAGAGAUUAUUUAGAGAGAUGUCCUGGACGGGAUAGGUAAACAUAUGACAGCCCAAGGAAGACAUGUAAAACUUUAAAUUGUAGACACUUAAGCACCAACUGUCUGGAGCCCUGAAGGGGGGAAAAAUUAUCCAUCAUCAGAAACUGCCAGGGCUGCUGGCAUUUUCUAAAUCAGAGGAUGUAUUAACCAGAGUGUGGGAAGUUUUCUGAACACAGAAUUCAUAUUUCUGAAGCUCGUGAAGGGAGUGCUUCAACUCUCUUUCUGGUUGUUGUAUCUUAGAUCCCUAAUUCCUUGGUUUUAACCACCAAGAAGAAUUCCUUAUAAGCAAGUUAUUAAAAGCAUUUACAUUAAAUAUUACUGGAUGGGAAAUAUUUCGUUUCCCAUGCUCAUUGUAUCAUAUUCACUAUGAACAUCUCUGUGAUCCAGAAUGUUUGAUAUCAGACAGGCUUUCACAAGAACCCAAGCAGGUGUUAAAGGGCCCCACAGCACCUUGCGCUUGUGCAAACAAAGGGAAUCCAAGGAUGCUGCUGAUGAAUACGAAAGAUGCUAGUCAUAAUGGAGGAAUAAACUGCCUGUACUGCCCAGACAUCAACCAAUCAGAACAGAUACCAGGCAUCAUAAGCAUCAGGUUUGGCCAGUGAGUGUAUCCCAGCUGAAGACCAGCCCUGCAAAUAUGACCUGAGAAACUCCUAUGUGAACAAAAACA